AGUGGGGAAUAUUGCACAAUGGGCGCAAGCCUGAUGCAGCCAUGCCGCGUGUAUGAAGAAGGCCUUCGGGUUGUAAAGUACUUUCAGCAGUGAGGAAGGGGUGUACGUUAAUACCGUGCAUCUUUGACGUUAGCUGCAGAAGAAGCACCGGCUAACUCCGUGCCAGCAGCCGCGGUAAUACGGAGGGUGCGAGCGUUAAUCGGAAUUACUGGGCGUAAAGCGCAUGCAGGUGGUUUGUUAAGUCAGAUGUGAAAGCCCGGGGCUCAACCUCGGAAUUGCAUUUGAAACUGGCAGGCUAGAGUACUGUAGAGGGGGGUAGAAUUUCAGGUGUAGCGGUGAAAUGCGUAGAGAUCUGAAGGAAUACCAGUGGCGAAGGCGGCCCCCUGGACAGAUACUGACACUCAGAUGCGAAAGCGUGGGGAGCAAA
rnacentral:rRNA from 1 species